AAGAAGUCAGGCCGAUCUAAGCCAUAGCACGGUAAGAGCUAUGCUGCCUGUGAGCCCCGUCCAAGGACGUAAAAAGAAGUCAGGCCGAAAGCCACGGCUUGAGCAAACCGUGCUGCCUGUAGCUCCAUCGUGGGGAUGUAAAAACCCGGGAGGCUGCAACCCAUGGAAGCUGUACGCAUGGGGUAGCAGACUAGUGGUUAGAGGAGACCCCUCCCAAGAUACAACGCAGCAGCGGGGCCCAACACCAGGGGAAGCUGUACCCUGGUGGUAAGGACUAGAGGUUAGAGGAGACCCCCCGCACAACAACAAACAGCAUAU
rnacentral:lncRNA from 1 species